CAGCCGCCGCGGUAACACGUAGGGUGCAAGCGUUAAUCGGAAUUACUGGGCGUAAAGCGUGCGCAGGCGGUUCGCUAAGACAGAUGUGAAAUCCCCGGGCUUAACCUGGGAACUGCAUUUGUGACUGGCGGGCUAGAGUAUGGCAGAGGGGGGUAGAAUUCCACGUGUAGCAGUGAAACGCGUAGAGAUGUGGAGGAAUACCGAUGGCGAAGGCAGCCCCCUGGGAUAACACUGACGUUCAUGCUCGAAAGCGUGGGUAGCAAACAGGAUUAGAUACCCCAGUAGUCCCUGUCUCUUAUAC
rnacentral:rRNA from 1 species